rnacentral:rRNA from 1 species
GACGAACGCUGGCGGCGUGCUUAACACAUGCAAGUCGAACGGAAAGGCUCUUGUUUGCUGGGGUACUCGAGUGGCGAACGGGUGAGUAACACGUGGGUUAUCUGCCCUUCACUUUGGGAUAACCUUGGGAAACUGGGUCUAAUACCGGAUAGUACCUCCUUCUGCAUGGUGUGGUUUUGAUUUUUUCGGUGGGUGAUGAUUUCGCGGCGUAUCAUCUUGUUGGUGGGGUAGUGGUCUAUCACGGCGUCGACGGGUAGCCGGCCUGCGAGGGUGUGCGGCCACAUUGGGACUGAGAUACGGCCCAGACUCCUACGGGAGGCAGCAGUGGGGAAUAUUGCACAAUGGGCGGAAGCCUGAUGCAGCAACGCCGCGUGGGGGAUGACGGCCUUCGGGUUGUAAACCGCUUUCGCCAGUGACGAAGCGUGAGUGACGGUAAUGGGUGAAGAAGCACCGGCUAACUACGUG